GAGAUCGGGAUAACACCUGGAAACAGAUGCUAAUACCGGAUAACAACAGAUGAUGCCUAUCAACUGUUUAAAAGAUGGUUCUGCUAUCACUCUUGGAUGGACCUGCGGUGCAUUAGCUAGUUGGUAGGGUAACGGCCUACCAAGGCGAUGAUGCAUAGCCGAGUUGAGAGACUGAUCGGCCACAUUGGGACUGAGACACGGCCCAAACUCCUACGGGAGGAAGCAGCU
rnacentral:rRNA from 1 species